CCUACGGGAGACUGCAGUGGGGGCUAUUGCACAAUGGGGGAAACCCUGAUGCAGCGACGCCGCGUGAGGGAAGACGGUUUUCGGAUUGUAAACCUCUGUCUUUGGGGACGAAUUGAGACGGUACCCAAGGAGGAAGCUCCGGCUAACUACGUGCCAGCAGCCGCGGUAAUACGUAGGGAGCAAGCGUUUUCCGGAAUUACUGGGGGUAAAGGGCGUGUAGGCGGGGACGCAAGUCAGAUGUGAAAACCACGGGCUCAACCUGUGGCCUGCAUUUGAAACUGUGUUUCUUGAGUACUGUAGAGGCAGACGGAAUUCCUAGUGUAGCGGUGAAAUGCGUAGAUAUUAGGAGGAACACCAGUGGCGAAGGCAGUCUGCUGGACAGCAACUGACGCUGAGGCGCGAAAGCGUGGGGAGCAAACAGGAUUAGAUACCCCGGUAGUC
rnacentral:rRNA from 1 species